rnacentral:tRNA from 1 species
UAGGGUAGUAGUUAAUUAUAACAUUUAAUUUGCAAUUAAAAAUUAUUGAACCAUCAAUAUACCUUAA